rnacentral:lncRNA from 1 species
UAAAUUACAACCACCACUAAGGUAUGGUAAAAUUACGAAAACUCCAUCUUAUUUGGAUAAUUACAAUUACACAUCAACUAUAAAUCUUCUUACACAUCCACCCUCGCGGUUUCAAAUUUCGUAAAGUCUUCAAGAUUAUAUAGAAUAUUAUCACUUUUGUACCCACUUUAUCCAAUUCGAACCCUACAUUUUGAAGCAAGAUGAUCAUAAUAUGUUUUUUUACUAGCAUAUAUCAGAUUAUGGUGCAUCAGAAACUAUAUUUUUAUACAAAACGAGUACAAACUAGUGCACAUUCCAUGAAAUCUAGAUGAUUAUGUCGAAUUUGACACCAUAAGGAUGUAGGUGUAGGGAAAAAUCAUAAUUGAAGGGUAGAUGUAAUUAUCCAAACAAGAGGGUUUUUUUCGUAAAUUGACCAUACCUCAAGGGUGGUUGUAAUUUACCCACACAAAAACUCAAAUCGAGAGUCGAAGAAUUGUACAGUUAUCCAAACAUAUUUGCUGAAAUGCUCAACAAACGACAAAGUAAAGUAAACGAAUCGAAAUUCAGCCACACGAACACAAUGAAGAAGGUUUAUAGAUCAUAGUGGCAGAAAUUAUGAAACAAAAAAACACUCUUGAAAUCUGUAUUUUAUUUAAAAUCAAACACUCGAUAGACAGAGAACCUCAGCAAAGUUCGUUUAGAUAACAGUUAAGCUCCGUUUUCUACUUGGUUGAAUUUGCCGACUCUUGCUUCUUUUUAUCACUCUUGAGUAACCAAUCCUGCAAAAUGGAAAAACGCAACUAUUAAGCAGCUAUGAUUAGUGAUAAAUGAUGGAUUCGGGCUAUUGGCGAAUUCUCCAAAUUAAUCGAGGAUAACACAAGGCAUUUCAAUGCCUACAUAUUCGAAUAUUUAAGACAGCAAGAUUAGUGUACAAAUUAUUCUUUUAAGAGAAAACGAAGAAAAAUAGCAGACACUCGUAACCGAAAAAUCGCUUCAAAAUCAUCAAAGACAUGUUAAGAAAAUCUUUUUAAGGUACAUUUGCAUUUGGAAGAACCAGAUUCUCGUACAAACUUCUCUUAACCGAAUUCAUAUCUAAUUGACAUCAACUACAACCUCGCCAGAAAUUCGGAAUCGUAAUCCUCAACGGAUAGUACAUCUUAUAAAUAAAAAAAAAAAACCAUCGAAGCACAUUUAAACAAGCAAAACCACACUUCAAUUACUACGAUCACAAUAAUUAUAUCACGAAUCAGUUAUUAAUCCUCACCGUUAUUCGCACAUUGAAAUCUAACAGAAAAGUGAAAAUUAGGACGAAAAAAUAUACAGAUAAUUUUAUAAACGUUCACGCUAUACAUUACACACUGCUCUUAUAAGAGUACACAACCUUGUUACACCUUAUAUAUAGUGCUCGCUUAAACGUUCUGAGAAUUUUAGAAUUGCUUGACAACCCAAAUUCAAAUGUUCUUAGAAUUUUCCCAACACGGAAAUAAAUAUGUUACAGUGACAUAGCUGUAGCCUUUUCCAUUAACCACAACGAGUUAAUAAUUUUAUUUUUAUAAUUUUUUUGCAGGAAUUAGUGAUACUCUAUACUAUAUAUUACUAAGGUCAAUUUACUAAAAUCAAGUAAAAAUUCAAUCAAUUAAUUAUAAUGCACGAUUAACGAAAUCCUCGUGAAAAUUUGCAUCAAAAGUAAUUAAAAAAAAAAACAGGUAUAGGAAAAACAGCAUCAUCAAAAUUAGGGAUCCAUCCAAUAAUUUUGCCCAGGUAAAUAAAUUACUCAAUUUCGUUCUUCCGAUCCAAAACAAAUUCAUAUAGAACAACAAAAAUCAAUCCCUGCGCAGAUAAUUUACAACACAAGAGAAACGCAAAACCGAAUUUAAAUACCACAAACACGAAGAAGAAUCAUGACUCAAUAAGAACUGAAUAAAAUCACAAAAUGGAUGAGAAAAAAAAACAUACGUUCUCGACGAAGAGGAGGUCGGCGACGACGACGGUCCCAAUUAUUCCGGCGAGAAUAGCAGUCGGGCCGGUUAGCAGACUCCAUUUUCGGUAAAUCAUUUUUCCUUGCAAUUUAUCUUCAACCUCGUUUUCUCUCUCUUCUCUCUCUCACUAGCUUCUCGAUUUAUGUUUAUGUAUAUA